GACGAACGCUGGCGGCGUGCUUAACACAUGCAAGUCGAACGGAAAGGCCCUGCUUUUGUGGGGUGCUCGAGUGGCGAACGGGUGAGUAACACGUGAGUAACCUGCCCUUGACUUUGGGAUAACUUCAGGAAACUGGGGCUAAUACCGGAUAGGAGCUCCUGCUGCAUGGUGGGGGUUGGAAAGUUUCGGCGGUUGGGGAUGGACUCGCGGCUUAUCAGCUUGUUGGUGGGGUAGUGGCUUACCAAGGCUUUGACGGGUAGCCGGCCUGAGAGGGUGACCGGCCACAUUAGGACUGAGAUACGGACCAGACUCCUACGGGAGGCAGCAGUGGGGAAUAUUGCCCAAUGGGCGGAAGCCUGAUGCAGCAACGCCGCGUGCGGGAUGACGGCCUUCGGGUUGUAAACCGCUUUCGCCUGUGACGAAGCGUGAGUGACGGUAAUGGGUAAAGAAGCACCGGCUAACUACGUG
rnacentral:rRNA from 1 species